GAUUCAUAAUAACUUAACGAAUCGCAUGGCCUUGCGCCGGCGAUGGUUCAUUCAAAUUUCUGCCCUAUCAACUUUCGAUGGUAGGAUAGUGGCCUACCAUGGUUUCUACGGGUAACGGGGAAUUAGGGUUCUAUUCCGGAGAGGGAGCCUGAGAAACGGCUACCACAUCCAAGGAAGGCAGCAGGCGCGCAAAUUACCCAAUCCCGACACGGGGAGGUAGUGACAAUAAAUACUGAUGGAGAGCUCUUUUGGGUUUUCUAGUUGGAAUGAGUACAAUUUAAAUUUCUUAACGAGGAACAAUUGGAGGGCAAGUCUGGUGCCAGCAGCCGCGGUAAUUCCAGCUCCAAUAGCGUAUAUUAAAGUUGUUGCAGUUAAAAAGCUCGUAGUUGAAACUCAGGCCUGGCUGGCCGGUCCGCCUCACCGCGAGCACUGGUUCGGCCGGGCUUUUUCCUUCUGGGGAGCCGCAUGCCCUUUACUGGGUGCGUUGGGGAACCAGGACUUUUACUUUGAAAAAAUUAGAGUGUUCAAAGCAGGCAUAUGCUCGGAUACAUUAGCAUGGAAUAAUAGAAUAGGACGUGUGGUUCUAUUUUGUUGGUUUCUAGGACCGCCGUAAUGAUUAAUAGGGAUAGUCGGGGGCAUCAGUAUUCAAUUGUCAGAGGUGAAAUUCUUGGAUUUAUUGAAGACUAACUACUGCGAAAGCAUUUGCCAAGGAUGUUUUCAUUAAUCAGUGAAC
rnacentral:rRNA from 1 species